CUGGUCUGCAUCAAUACAUCUUCACUGAAGGCUGGGGAGCCCACCAAUUCUCAGUGCUGGCAUCUGCACUUUCAAGGGCAUCGACUUGACACUAUAUAAAUAUUAUAUGCUUUUCUUUCACUUUGUAGUUCAGAAUUGAUUCAUUCUAGAGUAGUUUCAGGGCUGAGCAUAACAUAAUUCAUCUCUAGUUGGCAUUUGUUUCUGAAUAACACCAAGCAUCCCUGCACCUCGUGUGAAGCUUCUAGGAAAAUGGUAAUGCAUCUUUUUCUUGCUCACAACACCACAACCCUACUUAUGACUUGCCCUCAGACAUCGCCUAGUCCAGCAACGUCACCUGUUCUUUGCCCUCUUCUCUCACUGCUUGUUUUUGUUUUCACCAGAAAUUUCUUGAUGUAAAAGCUGGUGCAGGCAGGAGAGAAGCAUAUAAAUACCUCCCUUGGUAAUGCUAUACCUGGCUGGGAGAGAAAACUGCUUGCAGCAGGACAAGCAGAUACCCAGCUGCAUGCUGGCUGCAGGUGUGGGUCCAGCACCAAGAGAAUAAUCGAUUGAUGGCUGAGAUAACAAUGACUUUUUUUCCAUGGAGAGCCAGGAGCUGGGAUUUCAGUCUCCAACCUCGCUCAGGACAGAGCAGGAUCUGCGUGUGGAAGGAUCUAGAGUGCAAUUACUGGCUGCUUUUCAUCCUGAUUAGUGAAGCAUCCCUGGCCUGCCUAUUGCUGCGCUGACCACAGGAGGGUGGUGGAAGAGGCAGAAACCCUUUUUUCUCUGAGGCUGAGCAAAAGAGACACAGGAUAUGACAUCUGCUGAGUCUCCAGGUGGCUGGUUGGUGUUCUGCUCGGGGUCAAAUUGCUCACCAGCUUGCACAUCAGUCACUGGGAACCCCUUCCCCUCCCUGAGCUCUGCGUGGUCGCUGCAUUCAGCUGUGCAGGAACGGUGUAUCUGACAGCACUCAAAGGUUUAAUAAAUGUUUGCUCUGCUUUGUGUUAGCA
rnacentral:lncRNA from 1 species